UGGGGAGUAUUGGACAAUGGGGGAAACCCUGAUCCAGCCAUGCCGCGUGAGUGAUGAAGGCCUUAGGGUUGUAAACCUCUUUUCUCAGGGAAGAAGAAAGUGACGGUACCUGAGGAAUCAGCCUCGGCUAACUCCGUGCCAGCAGCCGCGGUAAUACGGAGGAGGCAAGCGUUAUCCGGAAUUAUUGGGCGUAAAGCGUCCGUAGGUGGUUUUUCAAGUCCGCUGUCAAAGACCGGAGCUCAACUCCGGAGAGGCAGUAGAAACUGAGGAACUAGAGACCGGUAGGGGUAGAGGGAAUUCCCAGUGUAGCGGUGAAAUGCGUAGAGAUUGGGAAGAACACCAGUGGCGAAAGCGCUCUACUGGGCCGGUACUGACACUCACAGGACGAAAGCUAGGGGAGCGAAAGGGAUUAGAUACCCCGGUAGUCC
rnacentral:rRNA from 1 species